rnacentral:rRNA from 1 species
AGAGCGAACGCUGGCGGCAGGCCUAACACAUGCAAGUCGAACGGCAGCGCGGACUUCGGUCUGGCGGCGAGUGGCGAACGGGUGAGUAAUAUAUCGGAACGUGCCCAGUAGCGGGGGAUAACUACGCGAAAGCGUGGCUAAUACCGCAUACGCCCUACGGGGGAAAGGGGGGGAUUCUUCGGAACCUCUCACUAUUGGAGCGGCCGAUAUCAGAUUAGCUAGUUGGUGAGGUAAGGGCUCACCAAGGCGACGAUCUGUAGCUGGUUUGAGAGGACGACCAGCCACACUGGGACUGAGACACGGCCCAGACCUCCUACGGGAGCAGCAGUGGGAAUUUGGACAAGUGGGGGAAACCCUGAUCCAGCCAUCCCGCGUGUGCGAUGAAGGCCUUCGGUUAGUAAGCGUACGUUUGGUCGAGGAAGAACGGCG